rnacentral:misc_RNA from 1 species
UGGUUCUGGCAUCGAUGAAGAACGCAGCGAAAUGCGAUAAGUAAUGUGAAUUGCAGAAUUUAGUGAAUCAUCGAAUCUUUGAACGCACAUUGCGCCUACUGGUAUUCCGGUAGGCAUGCACGUUCGAGCGUCAUUGAACAUCCUCAGGUUUUACUUGGUGUUGGGCCUUGCUAGUCAAACAGCUGGCCUUAAAGUCAGUGGCGGCUGUCUCUCGGCUCUAAGCGUAGUAGAAUAUAUCGCUUUUGAGCUUAGGGACCGCCUGCCAGCAACCUUAAUUUCUAUGUUUGACCUCGGAUCGUGUAGGAGUACCCGCUGA